rnacentral:rRNA from 1 species
UACAGAGGGUGCGAGCGUUGUCCGGAAUCACUGGGCGUAAAGGGCGCGUAGGUGGCUGGGUAAGCGUGCGGUGAAAGUUCGGGGCUCAACCCCGAAUCGGCCGUGCGGACUGCCUAGCUUGAGCAUAGUAGAGGCAGGUGGAAUUCCGGGUGUAGCGGUGGAAUGCGUAGAGAUCCGGAAGAACACCGGUGGCGAAGGCGGCCUGCUGGGCUAUUGCUGACACUGAGGCGCGACAGCGUGGGGAGCAAACAGG